GACGAACGCUGGCGGCGUGCUUAACACAUGCAAGUCGAACGGAAAGGCCUGCUUUCCCUUGUGGAUUGCGGGUACUCGAGUGGCGAACGGGUGAGUAACACGUGAGUGAUCUGCCCCCAACUUGGGUAUAAGCCUGGGAAACUGGGUCUAAUUCCCGAUAGGACUGCAGGGUGGUGCCUGUGGUGGAAAACGAUUUUCUAGUGGUUGGGGAUGAGCUCGCGGCCUAUCAGCUUGUUGGUGGGGUAAUGGCCUACCAAGGCGGCGACGGGUAGCCGGCCUGAGAGGGUGGACGGCCACAUUGGGACUGAGAUACGGCCCCGACUCCUACGGGCGGCAGCAGUGGGGAAUAUUGCACAAUGGGCGGAAGCCUGAUGCAGCGACGCCGCGUGGGGGAUGACGGCCUUCGGGUUGUAAACUCCUUUCGACCGCGAGGAAGCCACCUGGUUGGAAGGGUGGUGACGGUAGUGGUAGAAGAAGCACCGGCUAACUACGUG
rnacentral:rRNA from 1 species